GAUGAACGCUGGCUACAGGCUUAACACAUGCAAGUCGAGGGGAAACGACGGGGAAGCUUGCUUCCCCGGGCGUCGACCGGCGCACGGGUGAGUAACGCGUAUCCAACCUGCCUCUGACUGAGGGAUAACCCGUCGAAAGUCGGCCUAAUACCUCAUGGCAUCGUCUGCGGGCAUCCAACGACGAUUAAAGAUUUCAUCGGUCAGAGAUGGGGAUGCGUCUGAUUAGCUUGUUGGCGGGGUAACGGCCUACCAAGGCGACGAUCAGUAGGGGUUCUGAGAGGACGGUCCCCCACAUUGGAACUGAGACACUGUCCAAACUCCUACGGGCGGCAGCAGUGAGGACUAUUGGUCAAUGGGCGAGAGCCUGAACCAGCCAAGUAGCGUGCAGGAUGACGGCCCUAUGGGUUGUAAACUGCUUUUAUGCGGGGAUAAAGUGAGGGACGUGUCCUUCAUUGCAGGUACCGCAUGAAUAAGGACCGGCUAAUUCCGUG
rnacentral:rRNA from 1 species